ensembl:snoRNA
CCCCCCUGACAAUGGGCAAAGAAACACCUUAUUGGUGGUGGUAUUCUUAUAUCAGUCAGGGGUAGAGUAGAUAGCAGUCCUUUGUUCAUCCUAGCUUGAUGCCUGCUUGGUGGCCAGAGCUGUUUCAUGCCUAGGACACAUAA